rnacentral:rRNA from 1 species
AUGGCACAAUUACCUGGACUAGUGGACCAAUUGGCAAAUCGCUUGCCUACGUGGAAGGCAGCGGCCCUGCUGAAGAGUGGAAGGCUAAUCUUGGUUCUAUCGGUGCUAUGCUCGAUCCCGCUACAUGCGAUGUUGGCGCUGGACCUCCCCAUGAAGACUAUAGCUGACAUGAAUAAGAUAGUUAGAGGAUUCCUCUGGUGCGGUAAGGCUCAAGCAAAUGGGAGGAAUUGUUCCGUGGCUUGGGCCGAAGUCUGCAUGCCACGAUGGGCAGGAGGCAUAGGGAUUCCAUGUCUCAAGUGGUUGAACAUAGCAAUGCAGGCUCGCUGGUCUUGGUUACAACGUGUGGACCAGGAUAGACCAUGGAUGGAUUUCAAGUUUGCCCUCCUCAAGGAAUCCUUGGCAUUGUUUGCGGCAGCCACGUCGGCGACAGUAGGGAAUGGGAAGGAGACCCUAUUCUAG